AUGUUUAUCUUGGCCCACGAAGAAGAACAUAAUUUGGGCAGUUGUCAAGCACAGUCAAGACACAACAUCACAAUGAUGGGUCCUGCUCAGCUUCUUGGACUGUUGUUGUUCUGGUUUUCAAGUAUUAGGUGUGAUAUACAAAUGACUCAGUCUCCAUCCUUGGUGUCUGCAUCUGUGGGAGACAGUGUCACCAUCAAUUGCAAGGCCAGUCAGUAUAUUGGUAGUGGGUUGGCUUGGUAUCACCAGAAACUAGGGAACGCUGCUAAACUCCUGAUCUAUGGUGCAUCCUAUCUGGAAACGGGCAUCCCAUCAAGGUUCAGUGGCAGCGGAUGUGGUACAGAUUUCACUCUCACCAUCACCAGCCUGGAGCCUGAAGACAUUGCCGCUUACUUCUGUCAACAAAGUUAUGGUACCCCUCCCACAGUAAUACAGUUAAUAACAUAA